rnacentral:rRNA from 1 species
AGCGAACGCUGGCGGCAGGCCUAACACAUGCAAGUCGAACGAACCCUUCGGGGUUAGUGGCGGACGGGUGAGUAACACGUGGGAACGUGCCUUUAGGUUCGGAAUAACUCAGGGAAACUUGUGCUAAUACCGAAUGUGCCCUUCGGGGGAAAGAUUUAUCGCCUUUAGAGCGGCCCGCGUCUGAUUAGCUAGUUGGUGAGGUAAUGGCUCACCAAGGCUACGAUCAGUAGCUGGUCUGAGAGGAUGACCAGCCACAUUGGGACUGAGACACGGCCCAAACUCCUACGGGAGGCAGCAGUGGGGAAUCUUGCGCAAUGGGCGAAAGCCUGACGCAGCCAUGCCGCGUGGAUGAUGAAGGUCUUAGGAUUGUAAAAUCCUUUCACCGGUGAGGAUAAUGACUGUAGCCGGAGAAGAAGCCCCGGCUAACUUCGUGCCAGCCGCCGCUGUAAAAC